UCUUUGAAACUGCUUGUUUUGGAGCUUAAUAAAUGACGGGACCAUGAAUUAAUAACCAUAUAAGUCUUAGAAAGAGGAAAAAUCAUAGGAAUUUUGGGGCUUACUGAUGAUGUCAUGCUGAAGUUAGACAGGCCCACAGAUCCAGGCACAAUUCCAACUGAGACAUAGGCCACCUUCCUUAGGAAAUCAGGCAACUCUACCACCUCUCCAUGCAUGUCAAUUGCAUCAGAGGAUCUGUAGAAAACACUAAAAGAAUGGCAUUCAUUAAGCUAAAGACUGCAUGUCAGUUGGCAUGUCCUCCUCCAAAGAUCCUGCUAUUUGCAGUCGACCAAUAAAUGGCCUGGUAUAACACAGUUCAAGUUUAGAGAUUAGUAGCCAUCACAGAGAACCAACCAGUUAUGAACCACCAAGUUUUUCUCGUGAAAUUCCAAAGCAUGAAAAUUGAAUUUGGCAGGUUUUUCUUUUUCGUUUUGGUAGCAUUUGAGUGUCUCAUUACCUGCUUGCCUUUUUUUUUUUCCUUUCUUUCUUUUCAUUGUAAUUCUCUUUGACUGUUUUAGAUCAACAAGGGACAUCCCUGUAUUCCCACUUCGCCCCCAAUCUCUACUGAUGCUCGAAACAUAAUUUGGAGGAUUCUCGAUCCCAAUACAAAAACACGGAUAGUAUAACUGAAAUUAAAGAGAAUGAGUGGUUCAAGCAAGGCUACAUUCCCGCAAAUCCUGAUGAUGACAAAGAAGACACACAAAUUGAUGACGAGGCAUUCUUGAUUCAAGAGGAUAAGAGCCUCAAGAAACAUACCAUUUCCUAGGGCACGGGAAUUCAUGCAUGUGGAGCCCUUAGUUUAAUCCAGAAUGUUAAUUUGAUGGAUCUUGUUGUGGAUGGGGGAUGCCUCAAAAAUCUUUGAGGUUGGAGGAUCUUCAUCCAUUCUUUCAACGGUUACACUUAACUAUUUAUUUGUAGGCCUUUAAUCAAAAGUUAGGAUCUUGCAGCCUGGGAGAUUUGAGGCCUCUUAAGCUCCACGGUGUAUCAAAGCCAUAUAGAGCCUUGUAUGUUUAUGAAAAGCUGAUAAUCACAUUCAUGGCUCUCUUGGGGCAUCUUGAAGGGAAAUGGGUUGUAUCCUACAAUCUCUCAAAAAAACAUUCACAAAUUCGGAUCUACUUAGAAAUGAAGUGCGGAUCGUACAUCCUUGGGUUGAACUCUUUUUGCAGCUUUGGAUCGGUUUUGACAAUAUGAUGGCAUUUCCAAGGUAACAAACUUGUUAUUAAAACCAGUCUUAUACUAUAAUGAGAUUGGCUUUUCCAUUAUUUGUAAUAAAAAAGCAUAUUAUUUUGAGAAACUAGCAUCUACUGUGUCAUUCUUUCUCUGCAGAUUCGUGUCAAUAUCAUUAUUCUCUGUUUCGAAGCCCUGCUAAGUGCUAAUCGUACUCCAACUUGUGCGAAUGUGGCAUGCAUGUGCCAUACCCUAACUGUUCACCAAGUGGCAGGUGCUCUCCACAGUGUCUGUUGUGGAAGAAAAUAAGGCCAGUCUUGUCUUCAAUUGGGAGACACAUUUACAUCGAAUCGUGGCAGGUGCUUUUUAACCAUCCACUUUUUACAUACACGUCGUGCAUGUGAUAACCUGACAGGCCUAUUUUGGUCAUUACACAUAUACUGCAGGGCCCACCUGAUGAAUGGGCCAGAUCUUACACAUGGGUCACAUGUGUGGGAGAGUAUGAACAUAACCAUCACAUUCUCUGUUGUUUAUUUGUUCUAUAUGCGGAUCUUUUAGUGGCCCCUUAAGCUGAAGUAAAUUGAACUUGUGAAGUAAUGUUGCAGGGUGAAUUACACUUCUUGCUAAAGGAUGAAGUGGUUCAUUAUCUGAGAAAAUAAUCAAAGACCACAAACUGUGAGAGAAGGGGCAUGCACAACAUCAAACAUAUCCUUUGGGUAUCAAAGAGGUAACUGAUAACUGCUACUCUUUUUUUUCAUUUAUAUCACCAAACGAUGCAAAUCCUUUCUAAGAUCUUGUUUUCCUAUGCUCUUUUAAAGUUGCUUCAAUGCCAAGGAAUAGGUUCUAAUGCAUAUGUGAUUAAUGUCUUGAAUCUCCUGAUAAAUCUAUUCAAGUGGCCUAUGUCUGUUGAUGUAAUUGGUCCUGCCAUGUACAAGAUUCCCUGUUGAUAAAUCCAUACAUCUAUGAUUAACUUUUCUGCCUUUUCUUUUUCUUUUUUCAUUUCUUAACUAAAUAAGCAAUGACAAUCUCAACUAAUGGAGCCACAAAUAAAUCAACAUAUAGCAUUUUGAUGAUCGAUUAUCCUCAUUAUUGAUAAUUCCUGGAGUCUUUGCUUGAAUUUUUUUUGCAAAAUUUGUGAAUUUGGGCCAAUGUAAGAUUAUAUAAGCAUGAAACGAAAUCUUGCUUAGUGUUGACUAUGCCUUAUUCAACGAUAACCUUAUUGAGUUGUGAAUAAGAGAGCCAAUGCAGAUGCUCUUGCAAGCUUCUUUUUUUCACACCAGUAGAAUAACCUUGAACGUGAACAGAUCUCUCUCUAGUCUCCAUUGGCAUCUGCUAAACAAAUUCACACUAGAUAUAUUCUUCAAUGUAUUGCAUUUUCGUCACUUGUCUUUUGAUAGUAUAGUUAUUUAUUUUUGGAAGUGCAUUGCUCUCAUAAACAUGAUCUGAAUUUCAAUUAGAUUUGUC